rnacentral:sRNA from 1 species
UAUUAGCGCGUUAGGGAUUGCAGCGGCAUCCUUUUUAAUACUCGACUUGACUAAAGAUAGUUUUUAAACUAUACAGUAACAGAUUGCCACGUCGCUCGCUCCUCGCAAUGACAUAUUAAAAAGAUAUAGCGGAAAGCCCGACCCCUU